rnacentral:rRNA from 1 species
GGGAUUGAGGAGCUUGCUUCUCAUGAGAGUGGCGCACGGGUGCGUAACACGUAUGUAACCUACCUUGUUCAGGGGGAUAGCCUCUCGAAAGAGAGAUUAACACCGCAUAAAAUCAAUUUAUGGCAUCAUAGAAUGAUCAAAUAUUUAUAGGAACAAGAUGGGCAUGCGGAACAUUAGCUAGUUGGUAAGGUAACGGCUUACCAAGGCUACGAUGUUUAGGGGAUCUGAGAGGAUGACCCCCCACACUGGUACUGAGACACGGACCAGACUCCUACGAGAGGCAGCAGUAAGGAAUAUUGGUCAAUGGACGCAAGUCUGAACCAGCCAUGCCGCGUGCAGGAAGACGGCCCUACGGGUUGUAAACUGCUUUUGUACCGGAAUAAACCUUUUCACGUGUGAGAAGCUGAAUGUACGGUAAGAAUAAGGAUCGGCUAACUCCGUGCCAGCAGCCGCGGUAAUACGGAGGAUCCAAGCGUUAUCCGGAUUUAUUGGGUUUAAAGGGUGCGUAGGUGGCCUAUUAAGUCAG